AUUUGCUCCUUGGUGUGGCGGAUAUUUUGGUGGCGGGUGUGUCGGAGACUUUCGUUGUCAGCCAGAAAGCCAAAACCAAGCAAAUAUUUUGGUAAGCAAAGCGUCAAACGCAGCGAACCCACCGAGAGAAUCCUCACUCGCUCACUUCACCUCACCUCUCACUCCACUCCUCGAAAGCCGAAUCGCUGCACCUCUCAUUUCCCGUUUCGGCGACGACCCAUCAACUGCUUCGCCGUUUCUCGCCUCCCCUUGUCUCCAUGAGUCUUCCAAAAAUAUUGGCAGCAGAAUUGGAGAUUUGGGUUAUUUGAGUCUAAAGGCUCUGGUAACGUGUACGAUUUAUCUUAUCGUAAGAUCAUUGGCGUCUGCAUUUGGAGAUGGCUUCUUGUUCAUCCGUGCGUAUUGCACCUUCUGUCACCCCAGUCCCCUUGGGGAUGUCUGGCAACCUUGGAGACAGAUUUGCCCUCGAGAAUCAGUUGGGAAGAGUUAAUUUUCUGAGAAUGUCCAACCGCAAGAGUGGACUUAUGGAUGCCUACCAAACUUACUCUUCAUCUCAAUUUAAAUGCUCUGUUAACUCACACAAUGUCAGUCCAUACCCAAGUAAAGACCCUUUCCUGAAUCUGCACCCGGAAGUGUCAAUGCUUAGGGGUGAGGGAAAUAGCACCAUAAGUAAUCCGCGGAAGGAUAGUUCAAGUGGAAGUGUCACGGAGAGCCUAAGAGAUACACCUACUCCAAAUACUUAUAAUGAAGCUAAGAUCAAGGUUAUUGGGGUGGGAGGAGGUGGUUCAAACGCAGUUAAUCGCAUGAUUGAAAGUGCAAUGAAGGGUGUGGAGUUUUGGAUUGUCAAUACAGAUGUUCAAGCAAUGAGAAUGUCACCUGUCUUUCCAGAGAAUCGUCUACAAAUCGGUCAAGAGCUAACUAGAGGUCUUGGUGCUGGUGGGAACCCCGAGAUUGGCAUGAAUGCUGCCAAAGAGAGCAAAGAAACAAUAGAAGAGGCACUUUAUGGUGCAGAUAUGGUUUUUGUCACGGCUGGAAUGGGGGGAGGAACUGGGACUGGUGGUGCACCUAUCAUUGCAGGAGUUGCAAAAUCGAUGGGUAUACUGACUGUUGGUAUAGUCACUACGCCAUUUUCUUUUGAGGGAAGAAGGAGGACCGUUCAAGCCCAGGAAGGAGUAGCAUCUUUGAGAGACAACGUUGACACGCUAAUUGUCAUCCCGAAUGACAAAUUGUUAACUGCAGUUUCACAAUCUACCCCAGUGACUGAAGCAUUUAAUCUGGCAGAUGAUAUCCUACGGCAAGGAGUUCGAGGCAUCUCUGACAUAAUCACGAUACCGGGGCUGGUCAAUGUGGAUUUUGCUGAUGUUCGAGCUAUAAUGGCAGAUGCCGGCUCUUCAUUGAUGGGGAUAGGAACCGCAACAGGUAAGAGCAGGGCCAAAGAUGCUGCAUUGAAUGCCAUUCAGUCACCAUUACUGGACAUCGGCAUAGAAAGGGCUACUGGUAUUGUUUGGAACAUAACUGGAGGCAGUGAUCUCACCUUAUAUGAGGUAAAUGCUGCUGCGGAGGUGAUAUAUGAUCUUGUGGAUCCAAAUGCCAAUUUAAUAUUUGGUGCAGUAAUUGAUCCAUCACUCAGUGGUCAAGUUAGCAUAACAUUGAUUGCGACGGGUUUCAAACGCCAAGAAGAAAGCGACAGCAGGCUCCUCCAGGCAGGUCAGCUUGCCCAAGGUGAGGUCACCAUAGGAAUCAACCGGCCAUCGUCCUCUUUUAGUGAGGGUGGUUCAGUAGAGAUUCCAGAAUUCCUCAAGAAGAAGGGACGGUCACGUUAUCCAAGAGCUUAAAUUGUAAAGUGAGGAAUUUCUUGUUGAAUUUUGGCAUGCCUUCUAGGAGAAUGAAAAGGAUUCUCUGACAAUACUGGCCUCCUAAAUUUGCCUAUGGAUCUUAACUAAAGUUUUGCAGACUCAAGUAUCAUCCAAGUUCUCCACAAAGGAGCAAGCAUUGUUUGUCUGUGCAAUGCUCUUCCUGAAGAGCAUUGGAAUCAUAUGUUGCAGCUUGUGGAUUGCAUGGGAGGCAGAUGCCUUGGCAGGAUGACUCAAUUGGGUAAGGCGAUACUUGUGUUUUUAGCUUCUUGGAGGGCUCUAAUUUGGGUUCUGAAUAAUCAUGAAAUGUCUGCUGUUGCUUGUGGGAUUUGGUAAAUUCGGUUUCCUGAUAAGCAUAGAAUUGAGAGCUGAGAGUUUUGGGCUUUACCUAGAGGGAAACCUUCGCGGUAAUUCUACUGGAAGUUGGGACAUUAGUAGCUUACCUAGUUGGGUAGAUCAAAUUUCAUGAAGGCGGUCCAGUUAUGUGGAAUAUGCCUUUGAAUCUUGUGACCCUUAUACACCCAACUGUUAAGAUUUCAGUCCACAUCGAUUGUGCAAAGGUUAGAUUUUGCCCUAAUUCGCGCCUCCGGCUGGUCUCUUUUUGGGCUAUAUAUGGCUUUACUUUCUGGUAGACACCAAUCUGUAAUAUUUUGAGUCACAAGGCGAACUCUCUUACAGUGAGGCUUCUCUCAGAACAGGUCAA